GUGAGGAAUUUUCCGCAAUGGGCGAAAGCCUGACGGAGCAAUGCCGCGUGAAGGAUGAAGGCCUAUGGGUUGUAAACUUCUUUUUUCAGAAAAGAAUUAUGACGGUAUCUGAGGAAUAAGCAUCGGCUAACUCUGUGCCAGCAGCCGCGGUAAGACAGAGGAUGCAAGCGUUAUCCGGAAUGAUUGGGCGUAAAGCGUCUGUAGGUUGUUUAAAAAGUAUUCUGUCAAAGAUUAGGGCUUAACCCUAGAUAGGCAGAAUAAACUUUUAAGCUAGAGUUUGGUAGAGGCAGAGGGAAUUCCCGGUGGAGCGGUGAAAUGCGUAGAUAUCGGGAGGAACACCAAAGGCGAAGGCACUCUGCUGGGCCAAUACUAACACUGAGAGACGAAAGCGAGGGGAGCAAAUGGGAUUAGAAACCCGUGUAGUCC
rnacentral:rRNA from 1 species